GCCUCUGUAGCUCAGUGGUUAGAGCACAGGUCUCGUAAACCAGGGGUCGAGAGUUCCAUUCCAUGCAGAGGCU
rnacentral:tRNA from 1 species